rnacentral:rRNA from 1 species
UACGAAGGGGACUAGCGUUGUUCGGAAUUACUGGGCGUAAAGCGCGCGUAGGCGGAUCGCUAAGUCAGGGGUGAAAUCCCAGGGCUCAACCCUGGAACUGCCUUUGAUACUGACGAUCUGGAGAUCGGGAGAGGUUGGUGGAAUUCCGAGUGUAGAGGUGAAAUUCGUAGAUAUUAGCUAGAACACCAGUGGCGAAGGCGGCCAACUGGUCCGGUACUGACGCUGAGGAGCGAAAGCGUGGGGAGUGAACAGG